rnacentral:lncRNA from 1 species
UUGCAGGUACCACACCUUUGGGUGUCAUGCUAUGCUCAUGAGUAUGAUGAAACAGAAAGGAAAUGCAACAUCUUAAAAACAUGGUAGGAAGUUUACCUUUGAUUUGAGCUGCUGGCCAUGCUUAACAGUCCGGUCUUCAACCGAGCUGAGUGAAUGAGAUUCAUUGACAUGGGGGGCCUUCUGAAACUUGAUUUUACUUAUAAAUGUCAUGUUUUUAUUGGUAAUGUAUCUUAUGUUUCAUGUUUCAUGAUAAGAUUUCAUUCACGAAUCGGAAAAUAGUUCUUUUGAUUUAGGAUUUGAAUCUCAAUUUGAUAAUCAUGCCAACAAUUGAAUGGAAUACAUAACAAUGGAAUUCACAACUAAUUAAUGUGUAUUUAAAUCUAAAUAAGGGGUGAUAACCUUUUUUUCUGCAUAGGGGGGAUGGGGAAUACAUGUCUUUUCUCUUUUUUAUUUGCAAAACAAAUUACCAAAUGUCGAUUUUCUUUAUUCACAAUGGCAGAUGUAAUUUUCAACAAGGAAGAAGAUGUCAUUUCUCCGGAAAAUGAUGUCAUUGAUGGUCCGCUGUGUUUCUAUGAUGUGCUUGCUGAUUACUUUGUACAUGUGCCUGAAAGUGGGAAGCCCGUCCUUGACUUGAUUGUCCAACUUUGGAGCCAGUCAUUUGCUUCACAUAUUUUUAGCCUCUUGUUUCACAAAUGGGUAUGUAAGCUUGUCUCUGCCAUAUUGUCUUUUGCUCUCUUGAGGGAAGUUUUACUUAGCUUGAUAGUAUUAGUAUGGUCAUCCAUUACUGGUUUUGAAUUUGAACAUUUACAAUUCUAAAAAAAAGUGAGUCGUCUUAAUGGCAUGGUUACAUUCUGACAAAUAUGAACAUCCUCAAAUUGACUAAUGAUAUUCUGAGGCAUACCUGAUUAUGGCUAUAUAUUCCUUUUUCUCUUAGCUGGUUAUAGAGUGGGUGGCAAUUCCCCAUUUCACUUGACUAACAAUAUGUAUAACCUUUUUCUCUUAGUUGGUUAUAGAGUGGGUGGCAAUUCCCGAUUUCACUUGACUACCAUUUCUUCUUGUUCAUUCAAAUUUUGAAAUGCUUAUGAGUAUUUAGAACCUUCAUCAACGGUUUCUAAAAUUCAUUCUUUUCCUGAUAUUGGUACAAAAUUUCUGUCUACUAGUAGUAUAGCACCUAUUUUGUCAAAUGCUUGAAAUAGGUUUCAGAUUUAAUCCUUGGGAACCAGUGCAUACUAUUGUAAAUAUGUAGUAUGUAAGAUAAGUGACAUAUAUAGUAUAAUUAUUUCAUUUUGAUAAUGUGAGUGGUAUAUAUGAUACUAUUAUGUAUAAAUGAAAUGAGUGCUGAUAUAUAUAUAUAUAUAUAUAUAUAUAUAUAUAUAUAUAUAUAUAUAUAUAUAUAUAUAUAUNCUGUCAAAAUAAAUUUUGUCCACCGUCAAUACAAACACACACUUAAAAUUGGUUAUGAGAAUUGUGUUUUUACUUUUUACAUAGCACUGGUUUGAGAUUAGAUGUUUUUUUUUUGCUUGGGUAUAUUUCAUUUCUGUUAUUUCCCUUCUGUUGUAAGGAGUCAAUCUCCAUAUUUCCUAAAGAAAUCUUAGUUCCUAUUUUCUAAUUGACAUUCAAGAAUCACUGUUUGAGCUCUUUUAUUUAGUCCUAAUUGGGGUAAUAUUGUAAAACAUAUUUCUAGCUGUUUAGUUGUAUAUAACUUUUUAAUACCUUAAUGCAGAUGUUUGAAGUUCAUCUUGAUAAUCCAGAAGUGCUCCUACGGUAUUCAUCUGCCCUGGUUCAAGGUGCCACAAAUGUUUUCUGGUAUGAAUACAGGCUGUUAUAAAGUAAAAUGUUAAUUAAUUGGAUAUAACUUGCAAAAAGACCAGGCAGAUUUGGAUUGGCUGGCAUUUAUAAGUUAAAAUUAUAUUCACUUUGAAAAACCAUGCUCUGAAAAGAUAUGAACUUCAUUUCAUGCUCCACUCCACUCCUAAAUGGAAAUAAGAAGAAUAUGUGUGAACUCUCUUUAUCAUCUUUCUUUUAAAAACAAUAUUUGCUUGCAUUACAUGAUUUUAUCAAUAGUCUUUCUAUGCCAAAUCAAUAGCAAUCCGUUUGACCUUAUCCUAAUCCAUUAAAAACAAAACAGAAAGUAAUUGAAAAUUUGGAAAAUGUUAGUAAGAGUGUCUUCAUGGGCUAAAACCUCUACUAUGAUAGAGUUGAUAUUGUACCAUAUUUGGAAAAUCAAUUUGAGAAUUGCAAUAGUCAUUUUUGGUGCCAUGUACAGGAUUGACAUUCAGACAAAUACAAAGCGUUUCCGGUCUAUAUUCCGUGUAAGGGUUCUAGUUGGAUCCUAUAUUUAUUUUAACUAUUAUGUAUCAUCUGAAUAAUAUUAUAAUCAUUGUUUCUUUUCCCAAUUCUUUUGCAUAUUCCUUGUGUUUCCCUCAAAUUCAGUACCUCUUGGAUGAUGAUGCAUUACACCACAGUAGAUUGAAUAAAAUUCCUCUCCAGGUAUACCAUAUCAGUUUUAGUUUUUGGCAUUUUAUAAAUGCUGCCUACAAUUUUUUAUAGGACCUUUAGCUAGUCUACUUUUGUUGCUGGCAAUGGCAUUCUGAAAUUUUUUACUUUUCAUUGAACUAUCAGGCUCAGCGAGAUAUGUAUCUUUUGCUCUCAAGGUUCAUUCUAUUUUACAAUUCAGGUAGCCAUUCAGAGAAGUUAUUAGCCUAUAAAUAAUAAUGCAAUAGUCUCUAAAUCUAAUAUUGCCCUCUUUGCAGCUGGCAAAAUCGAUAGCUUCUUGAAACAAUGUCCUGUUUUUCAAACUGCCUUCUUAGUUGGCAGUCCGGCAGAUAUAUUUGUGAAUGAACUCACGGAUCAGGUACAUCUGAAUCACCUUUUUUCACAAUUGAAAACCAUAUCCUCUGUUUCAUAUAAAGAAAUUAUGUUACCUACACUUAAUUGUUGCUGUUGAUUUUUUUAACAGCUUCAAAAGCUUAAGGUGGAACCUGUACUGCUGCAUUAUCUUUCAUAAAUCAAGGUCCUUCAGGGUACUAAACCAACCAUUCAGGUUCAAUAGUUGGACAUGGAAUAUUCUUCUCUCAACCUGACUCAGCUAAGUCAUUCUUUUGUUUAUGUUAAUGGCACAGGUAUGGAAUUGAGAAUGACGACAAGUACGAGAUUGAAAACAUGUUUGUAUAGUUUUACUUCUCCUGGUGGUCCAAUGUACCCGACCAGAGCUGUUCGUCAUGCUGCAUGGGAAGCACUAGAUUUUCUUUUUCCGGUUAGUCUUAUUAUUAAUAAUUAAAGCACUAGAGUUUCUUUUUCCGUUAGUAUUAUUAUUACUUAAUAAUUAGUAUUCAAACCAAAUUAUAACAAAUUGCAAGAGCUUUGUCCUCGCCGGCCCAAAAUGCCUUUUUUCACUUUAAAUAUUUUUAGGUCCCAUCAUUGUUAAAUACUUGACUUUUAUUAAAACCUUUUUAAGUUUUAUAGGUGGGAUUAUAUGACUAUUAAACUGUUUAAAUUUCCAAUAGAUGAAGGGAAACAUUAAUGGCUUUUUAAAAUGAUUUCAUAGAAUCUGCACACAGAUGAUGUGUUUUUCCCUUUUAGCUUUUUCAACUUAUUUCUGAAAGGGUGGAUUGUUUGUGUAUAUGCCGUAUAGUUCAUAGUUAAGAUAUCAAUAUAGCAUAUUGAUAAAUAAGUGUAAUAUCUUAACUCAUAAGCACGAGCUUCAUGCACGCACCAAGUACUAGUCCGAUAAAUAAAUAUUAAUGUUGAUUUUCUGCUAUGAUGCAGGUUGGGCAAUACCCUCGGCAUCUCAUAAGUCUGUUCUUCAGGUUGCUCUAUCCAUGGUAUUGGCCAUCCUCUUGUUGGAACUUUGUGGUUUCGUGCAUUCAUGCUAUCUUUUACUCCUUACUGAGGUUGAUAUUUUCUACGUGGGAAAAAAUUGCCAAACCAAAAACACAGUAAAUGUCCAUAUGUCCUGAAGAUAUUGGAGUUCAUGCAUAGAACCCGGGUCAUCUCUUGCCAACCAGCACGAAUGCCUUCUCUGAUAUUUCUUUUUUCCACUCAAUGUGAUGUACAUAUCAUUUUUUGAAUUAAUAUGUACAAUUUUUAUCAGAGAAGGCAUAUUAUUCAGGUUCAUUCGUUCAUAUCAUUUUUUGAAUUAAUAUGUACAAUUUCUAUAAAAAUGUGAAGCCUUUUUUUGAUUUGAACAUUUUCUCACUCGUCUUAAUGACUUUUUGUUGGCUUUCUUGUAGUGAGCUUAUUUACUUUUCAAUGCUUACAUUGAUAAUGUUUUGUGGAUUUUGUAGGAGGAAAACUUGGAAGAGGUCAUUGCACUUACUGUGAUAUAACUGUUAAAUUGUUUGUCUCACACAUAUCUUUCAGAUGCAAAGGAUAAUACUGACAUUAUGAAUUUUGUUACAGGCCCCGCCCAGGGAGCAAGCGUAUGUGACAUUUUCAUUGUAUUAGAUUGUGUUGAUCCUACUAUUGCUAGCAAUUUAAGGCAUCCCAUGAUGUACCAUUUUGCAGGGGGUUCCAUGAGAUAUAGAAAGUGAUGCAGGUCACCUUUGAUUUGGAAGCAUAAUCCAGUCUGCAUCCCAGCUCUUUCUCGUAUUAAGUUUCAUGCACUUCAUUAGAUUAAAUCACAUACGUUUGUGAUUCUGGUAGAUGGAAAGUGUUGUCAUUUUUUAAAAUUAUUUAGGUCGAAUGCCAGUAAUUUCCAAUGCAAUUUGUUUUUAAUUCAAGUCAUGAUGGUAACGUUUAUCGUAGGAAACAGAUUCUAUGCAUUUGAAGAUGUUGUUUUUUCUAUUAACAAAUGUUAAUAUGUUAGUUUUAUUAUGGUGUGGGUAGGACUAGAACCAUCAACCUCAACUCUCUCACUCCAUCCUCAAACCACCAAACCAAGUUUAUAUCUCUCUAUAUAAUGAUAUGGUCUAGUUUUGUCUUAGCAUUUAGGAGCUUUAAUCUACAUUCUAAUGUACAUAAUUUAUGGAGAUAUAUUAUUAUAUUUCUAUAUUGGCGGAGCUGUAGAGGUAGUAACUGCACAAACUCUCGGUACUUAAAUGAGUUAUUGAUAAUUUCAUACUGGACCGUAUGAAUUUAUUGAGGAACUUCACAGUUACUGAAUAUGAUUCCAUUUUGUAUGACUUCCAAAAUCAUAUUUUCUAAUUUGUACAAAUUUGCUUUAGUGGUUUUUCUUCAAUGAAGUUACAACAUAGCUACAGUUCAUUUAAAAUUAGCCAUCUUCUUCUUGUGUCGUCUAUAAGAAAAAUUGCACGGUUGACUUAAUAUAUCCUUGUUAUGGUUUUAUGGACAAUCUUUCUCGAUUAUUAUUAUUUGAUUGUGCAAUUGUGAAGUUGUUAUGAUCUGCUUGUGAUUAGUAUGUUCUUUUAUUUACCAAAAUUAUUUGAAUUCAUAACUAACUUGAUCGUCGGAGUUUUUGCAGGUACCACACCUUUGGUGUGUCAUGCUAUGCUCAUGAGUAUGAUGAAACAGAAAGGAAAUGCAACAUCUUAAAAACAUGGUAGGAAGUUUACCUUUGAUUUGAGCUGCUGGCCAUGCUUAACAGUCCGGUCUUCAACCGAGCUGAGUGAAUGAGAUUCAUUGACAUGGGGGGCCUUCUGAAACUUGAUUUUACUUAUAAAUGUCAUGUUUUUAUUGGUAAUGUAUCUUAUGUUUCAUGUUUCAUGAUAAGAUUUCAUUCACGAAUCGGAAAAUAGUUCUUUUGAUUUAGGAUUUGAAUCUCAAUUUGAUAAUCAUGCCAACAAUUGAAUGGAAUACAUAACAAUGGAAUUCACAACUAAUUAAUGUGUAUUUAAAUCUAAAUAAGGGGUGAUAACCUUUUUUUCUGCAUAGGGGGGAUGGGGAAUACAUGUCUUUUCUCUUUUUUAUUUGCAAAACAAAUUACCAAAUGUCGAUUUUCUUUAUUCACAAUGGCAGAUGUAAUUUUCAACAAGGAAGAAGAUGUCAUUUCUCCGGAAAAUGAUGUCAUUGAUGGUCCGCUGUGUUUCUAUGAUGUGCUUGCUGAUUACUUUGUACAUGUGCCUGAAAGUGGGAAGCCCGUCCUUGACUUGAUUGUCCAACUUUGGAGCCAGUCAUUUGCUUCACAUAUUUUUAGCCUCUUGUUUCACAAAUGGGUAUGUAAGCUUGUCUCUGCCAUAUUGUCUUUUGCUCUCUUGAGGGAAGUUUUACUUAGCUUGAUAGUAUUAGUAUGGUCAUCCAUUACUGGUUUUGAAUUUGAACAUUUACAAUUCUAAAAAAAAGUGAGUCGUCUUAAUGGCAUGGUUACAUUCUGACAAAUAUGAACAUCCUCAAAUUGACUAAUGAUAUUCUGAGGCAUACCUGAUUAUGGCUAUAUAUUCCUUUUUCUCUUAGCUGGUUAUAGAGUGGGUGGCAAUUCCCCAUUUCACUUGACUAACAAUAUGUAUAACCUUUUUCUCUUAGUUGGUUAUAGAGUGGGUGGCAAUUCCCGAUUUCACUUGACUACCAUUUCUUCUUGUUCAUUCAAAUUUUGAAAUGCUUAUGAGUAUUUAGAACCUUCAUCAACGGUUUCUAAAAUUCAUUCUUUUCCUGAUAUUGGUACAAAAUUUCUGUCUACUAGUAGUAUAGCACCUAUUUUGUCAAAUGCUUGAAAUAGGUUUCAGAUUUAAUCCUUGGGAACCAGUGCAUACUAUUGUAAAUAUGUAGUAUGUAAGAUAAGUGACAUAUAUAGUAUAAUUAUUUCAUUUUGAUAAUGUGAGUGGUAUAUAUGAUACUAUUAUGUAUAAAUGAAAUGAGUGCUGAUAUAUAUAUAUAUAUAUAUAUAUAUAUAUAUAUAUAUAUAUAUAUAUAUAUAUUAGUUAAUCAUGGACUAAUGCAUAUUACUAGUAUGUUUGGUUUGGCUUUUGGAACAGCUAGAAUCAAUUCUAGAGGUGUAGAAUUGAUUAUGGAGUGAUUUUGAGGUGUUUGGUUCUAAAGUAGAAUUGAUUUUACCUCCAGAAUUGAUUCUACUUGAAGCUAGAAUUUGUAGCUUCUGAGUUUAAACACGAUUUUUACACUGAAAUUUGUUGUUCAACUCACUUUUACAUAAACGUAUCCAAACAUAAAUCAAAUUAUGUUAAACUUCUAUUAAAAUCAAUUAUACUAAACUCAUUUCUGUCAAAAUAAAUUUUGUCCACCGUCAAUACAAACACACACUUAAAAUUGGUUAUGAGAAUUGUGUUUUUACUUUUUACAUAGCACUGGUUUGAGAUUAGAUGUUUUUUUUUUGCUUGGGUAUAUUUCAUUUCUGUUAUUUCCCUUCUGUUGUAAGGAGUCAAUCUCCAUAUUUCCUAAAGAAAUCUUAGUUCCUAUUUUCUAAUUGACAUUCAAGAAUCACUGUUUGAGCUCUUUUAUUUAGUCCUAAUUGGGGUAAUAUUGUAAAACAUAUUUCUAGCUGUUUAGUUGUAUAUAACUUUUUAAUACCUUAAUGCAGAUGUUUGAAGUUCAUCUUGAUAAUCCAGAAGUGCUCCUACGGUAUUCAUCUGCCCUGGUUCAAGGUGCCACAAAUGUUUUCUGGUAUGAAUACAGGCUGUUAUAAAGUAAAAUGUUAAUUAAUUGGAUAUAACUUGCAAAAAGACCAGGCAGAUUUGGAUUGGCUGGCAUUUAUAAGUUAAAAUUAUAUUCACUUUGAAAAACCAUGCUCUGAAAAGAUAUGAACUUCAUUUCAUGCUCCACUCCACUCCUAAAUGGAAAUAAGAAGAAUAUGUGUGAACUCUCUUUAUCAUCUUUCUUUUAAAAACAAUAUUUGCUUGCAUUACAUGAUUUUAUCAAUAGUCUUUCUAUGCCAAAUCAAUAGCAAUCCGUUUGACCUUAUCCUAAUCCAUUAAAAACAAAACAGAAAGUAAUUGAAAAUUUGGAAAAUGUUAGUAAGAGUGUCUUCAUGGGCUAAAACCUCUACUAUGAUAGAGUUGAUAUUGUACCAUAUUUGGAAAAUCAAUUUGAGAAUUGCAAUAGUCAUUUUUGGUGCCAUGUACAGGAUUGACAUUCAGACAAAUACAAAGCGUUUCCGGUCUAUAUUCCGUGUAAGGGUUCUAGUUGGAUCCUAUAUUUAUUUUAACUAUUAUGUAUCAUCUGAAUAAUAUUAUAAUCAUUGUUUCUUUUCCCAAUUCUUUUGCAUAUUCCUUGUGUUUCCCUCAAAUUCAGUACCUCUUGGAUGAUGAUGCAUUACACCACAGUAGAUUGAAUAAAAUUCCUCUCCAGGUAUACCAUAUCAGUUUUAGUUUUUGGCAUUUUAUAAAUGCUGCCUACAAUUUUUUAUAGGACCUUUAGCUAGUCUACUUUUGUUGCUGGCAAUGGCAUUCUGAAAUUUUUUACUUUUCAUUGAACUAUCAGGCUCAGCGAGAUAUGUAUCUUUUGCUCUCAAGGUUCAUUCUAUUUUACAAUUCAGGUAGCCAUUCAGAGAAGUUAUUAGCCUAUAAAUAAUAAUGCAAUAGUCUCUAAAUCUAAUAUUGCCCUCUUUGCAGCUGGCAAAAUCGAUAGCUUCUUGAAACAAUGUCCUGUUUUUCAAACUGCCUUCUUAGUUGGCAGUCCGGCAGAUAUAUUUGUGAAUGAACUCACGGAUCAGGUACAUCUGAAUCACCUUUUUUCACAAUUGAAAACCAUAUCCUCUGUUUCAUAUAAAGAAAUUAUGUUACCUACACUUAAUUGUUGCUGUUGAUUUUUUUAACAGCUUCAAAAGCUUAAGGUGGAACCUGUACUGCUGCAUUAUCUUUCAGAAGUCAAGGUCCUUCAGGGUACUAAACCAACCAUUCAGGUGCAAUAGUUGGACAUGGAAUAUUCUUCUCUCAACCUGACUCAGCUAAGUCAUUCUUUUGUUUAUGUUAAUGGCACAGGUAUCGAAUUGAGAAUGACGACAAGUACGAGAUUGAAAACAUGUUUGUAUGGUUUUACUUCUCCUGGUGGUCCAAUGUACCCGACCAGAGCUGUUCGUCAUGCUGCAUGGGAAGCACUAGAUUUUCUUUUUCCGAUAAGUAUUAUUAUUAAUAAUUAAAGCACUAGAGUUUCUUUUUCCGUUAGUAUUAUUAUUACUUAAUAAUUAGUAUUCAAACCAAAUUAUAACAAAUUGCAAGAGCUUUGUCCUCGCCGGCCCAAAAUGCCUUUAUAAUAAUUAGUAUUCAAACCAAAUUAUAACAAAUUGCAAGAGCUUUGUCCUCGCCGGCCCAAAAUGCCUUUUUUCACUUUAAAUAUUUUUAGGUCCCAUCAUUGUUAAAUACUUGACUUUUAUUAAAGCCUUUUUAAGUUUUAUAGGUGGGAUUAUAUGACUAUUAAACUGUUUAAAUUUCCAAUAGAUGAAGGGAAACAUUAAUGGCUUUUUAAAAUGAUUUCAUAGAAUCUGCACACAGAUGAUGUGUUUUUCCCUUUUAGCUUUUUCAACUUAUUUCUGAAAGGCUGGAUUAAUUGUGUAUAUGCCGUAUAGUCAUAGUUAAGAUAUCAAUAUAGCAUAUUGAUAAAUAAGUGUAAUAUCUUAACUCAUAAGCAAGAGCUUCAUGCACGCACCAAGUACUAGUCCGAUAAAUGAAUAUUAAUGUUGAUUUUCUGCUAUGAUGCAGGUUGGGCAAUACCCUCGGCAUCUCAUAAGUCUGUUCUUCAGGUUGCUCUAUCCAUGGUAUUGGCCAUCCUCUUGUUGGAACUUUGUGGUUUCGUGCAUUCAUGCUAUCUUUUACUCCUUACUGAGGUUGAUAUUUUCUACGUGGGAAAAAAUUGCCAAACCAAAAACACAGUAAAUGUCCAUAUGUCCUGAAGAUAUUGGAGUUCAUGCAUAGAACCCGGGUCAUCUCUUGCCAACCAGCACGAAUGCCUUCUCUGAUAUUUCUUUUUUCCACUCAAUGUGAUGUACAUAUCAUUUUUUGAAUUAAUAUGUACAAUUUUUAUCAGAGAAGGCAUAUUAUUCAGGUUCAUUCGUUCAUAUCAUUUUUUGAAUUAAUAUGUACAAUUUCUAUAAAAAUGUGAAGCCUUUUUUUGAUUUGAACAUUUUCUCACUCGUCUUAAUGACUUUUUGUUGGCUUUCUUGUAGUGAGCUUAUUUACUUUUCAAUGCUUACAUUGAUAAUGUUUUGUGGAUUUUGUAGGAGGAAAACUUGGAAGAGGUCAUUGCACUUACUGUGAUAUAACUGUUAAAUUGUUUGUCUCACACAUAUCUUUCAGAUGCAAAGGAUAAUACUGACAUUAUGAAUUUUGUUACAGGCCCCGCCCAGGGAGCAAGCGUAUGUGACAUUUUCAUUGUAUUAGAUUGUGUUGAUCCUACUAUUGCUAGCAAUUUAAGGCAUCCCAUGAUGUACCAUUUUGCAGGGGGUUCCAUGAGAUAUAGAAAGUGAUGCAGGUCACCUUUGAUUUGGAAGCAUAAUCCAGUCUGCAUCCCAGCUCUUUCUCGUAUUAAGUUUCAUGCACUUCAUUAGAUUAAAUCACAUACGUUUGUGAUUCUGGUAGAUGGAAAGUGUUGUCAUUUUUUAAAAUUAUUUAGGUCGAAUGCCAGUAAUUUCCAAUGCAAUUUGUUUUUAAUUCAAGUCAUGAUGGUAACGUUUAUCGUAGGAAACAGAUUCUAUGCAUUUGAAGAUGUUGUUUUUUCUAUUAACAAAUGUUAAUAUGUUAGUUUUAUUAUGGUGUGGGUAGGACUAGAACCAUCAACCUCAACUCUCUCACUCCAUCCUCAAACCACCAAACCAAGUUUAUAUCUCUCUAUAUAAUGAUAUGGUCUAGUUUUGUCUUAGCAUUUAGGAGCUUUAAUCUACAUUCUAAUGUACAUAAUUUAUGGAGAUAUAUUAUUAUAUUUCUAUAUUGGCGGAGCUGUAGAGGUAGUAACUGCACAAACUCUCGGUACUUAAAUGAGUUAUUGAUAAUUUCAUACUGGACCGUAUGAAUUUAUUGAGGAACUUCACAGUUACUGAAUAUGAUUCCAUUUUGUAUGACUUCCAAAAUCAUAUUUUCUAAUUUGUACAAAUUUGCUUUAGUGGUUUUUCUUCAAUGAAGUUACAACAUAGCUACAGUUCAUUUAAAAUUAGCCAUCUUCUUCUUGUGUCGUCUAUAAGAAAAAUUGCACGGUUGACUUAAUAUAUCCUUGUUAUGGUUUUAUGGACAAUCUUUCUCGAUUAUUAUUAUUUGAUUGUGCAAUUGUGAAGUUGUUAUGAUCUGCUUGUGAUUAGUAUGUUCUUUUAUUUACCAAAAUUAUUUGAAUUCAUAACUAACUUGAUCGUCGGAGNUAAUAAUUAGUAUUCAAACCAAAUUAUAACAAAUUGCAAGAGCUUUGUCCUCGCCGGCCCAAAAUGCCUUUUUUCACUUUAAAUAUUUUUAGGUCCCAUCAUUGUUAAAUACUUGACUUUUAUUAAAACCUUUUUAAGUUUUAUAGGUGGGAUUAUAUGACUAUUAAACUGUUUAAAUUUCCAAUAGAUGAAGGGAAACAUUAAUGGCUUUUUAAAAUGAUUUCAUAGAAUCUGCACACAGAUGAUGUGUUUUUCCCUUUUAGCUUUUUCAACUUAUUUCUGAAAGGGUGGAUUGUUUGUGUAUAUGCCGUAUAGUUCAUAGUUAAGAUAUCAAUAUAGCAUAUUGAUAAAUAAGUGUAAUAUCUUAACUCAUAAGCACGAGCUUCAUGCACGCACCAAGUACUAGUCCGAUAAAUAAAUAUUAAUGUUGAUUUUCUGCUAUGAUGCAGGUUGGGCAAUACCCUCGGCAUCUCAUAAGUCUGUUCUUCAGGUUGCUCUAUCCAUGGUAUUGGCCAUCCUCUUGUUGGAACUUUGUGGUUUCGUGCAUUCAUGCUAUCUUUUACUCCUUACUGAGGUUGAUAUUUUCUACGUGGGAAAAAAUUGCCAAACCAAAAACACAGUAAAUGUCCAUAUGUCCUGAAGAUAUUGGAGUUCAUGCAUAGAACCCGGGUCAUCUCUUGCCAACCAGCACGAAUGCCUUCUCUGAUAUUUCUUUUUUCCACUCAAUGUGAUGUACAUAUCAUUUUUUGAAUUAAUAUGUACAAUUUUUAUCAGAGAAGGCAUAUUAUUCAGGUUCAUUCGUUCAUAUCAUUUUUUGAAUUAAUAUGUACAAUUUCUAUAAAAAUGUGAAGCCUUUUUUUGAUUUGAACAUUUUCUCACUCGUCUUAAUGACUUUUUGUUGGCUUUCUUGUAGUGAGCUUAUUUACUUUUCAAUGCUUACAUUGAUAAUGUUUUGUGGAUUUUGUAGGAGGAAAACUUGGAAGAGGUCAUUGCACUUACUGUGAUAUAACUGUUAAAUUGUUUGUCUCACACAUAUCUUUCAGAUGCAAAGGAUAAUACUGACAUUAUGAAUUUUGUUACAGGCCCCGCCCAGGGAGCAAGCGUAUGUGACAUUUUCAUUGUAUUAGAUUGUGUUGAUCCUACUAUUGCUAGCAAUUUAAGGCAUCCCAUGAUGUACCAUUUUGCAGGGGGUUCCAUGAGAUAUAGAAAGUGAUGCAGGUCACCUUUGAUUUGGAAGCAUAAUCCAGUCUGCAUCCCAGCUCUUUCUCGUAUUAAGUUUCAUGCACUUCAUUAGAUUAAAUCACAUACGUUUGUGAUUCUGGUAGAUGGAAAGUGUUGUCAUUUUUUAAAAUUAUUUAGGUCGAAUGCCAGUAAUUUCCAAUGCAAUUUGUUUUUAAUUCAAGUCAUGAUGGUAACGUUUAUCGUAGGAAACAGAUUCUAUGCAUUUGAAGAUGUUGUUUUUUCUAUUAACAAAUGUUAAUAUGUUAGUUUUAUUAUGGUGUGGGUAGGACUAGAACCAUCAACCUCAACUCUCUCACUCCAUCCUCAAACCACCAAACCAAGUUUAUAUCUCUCUAUAUAAUGAUAUGGUCUAGUUUUGUCUUAGCAUUUAGGAGCUUUAAUCUACAUUCUAAUGUACAUAAUUUAUGGAGAUAUAUUAUUAUAUUUCUAUAUUGGCGGAGCUGUAGAGGUAGUAACUGCACAAACUCUCGGUACUUAAAUGAGUUAUUGAUAAUUUCAUACUGGACCGUAUGAAUUUAUUGAGGAACUUCACAGUUACUGAAUAUGAUUCCAUUUUGUAUGACUUCCAAAAUCAUAUUUUCUAAUUUGUACAAAUUUGCUUUAGUGGUUUUUCUUCAAUGAAGUUACAACAUAGCUACAGUUCAUUUAAAAUUAGCCAUCUUCUUCUUGUGUCGUCUAUAAGAAAAAUUGCACGGUUGACUUAAUAUAUCCUUGUUAUGGUUUUAUGGACAAUCUUUCUCGAUUAUUAUUAUUUGAUUGUGCAAUUGUGAAGUUGUUAUGAUCUGCUUGUGAUUAGUAUGUUCUUUUAUUUACCAAAAUUAUUUGAAUUCAUAACUAACUUGAUCGUCGGAGUUUUUGCAGGUACCACACCUUUGGUGUGUCAUGCUAUGCUCAUGAGUAUGAUGAAACAGAAAGGAAAUGCAACAUCUUAAAAACAUGGUAGGAAGUUUACCUUUGAUUUGAGCUGCUGGCCAUGCUUAACAGUCCGGUCUUCAACCGAGCUGAGUGAAUGAGAUUCAUUGACAUGGGGGGCCUUCUGAAACUUGAUUUUACUUAUAAAUGUCAUGUUUUUAUUGGUAAUGUAUCUUAUGUUUCAUGUUUCAUGAUAAGAUUUCAUUCACGAAUCGGAAAAUAGUUCUUUUGAUUUAGGAUUUGAAUCUCAAUUUGAUAAUCAUGCCAACAAUUGAAUGGAAUACAUAACAAUGGAAUUCACAACUAAUUAAUGUGUAUUUAAAUCUAAAUAAGGGGUGAUAACCUUUUUUUCUGCAUAGGGGGGAUGGGGAAUACAUGUCUUUUCUCUUUUUUAUUUGCAAAACAAAUUACCAAAUGUCGAUUUUCUUUAUUCACAAUGGCAGAUGUAAUUUUCAACAAGGAAGAAGAUGUCAUUUCUCCGGAAAAUGAUGUCAUUGAUGGUCCGCUGUGUUUCUAUGAUGUGCUUGCUGAUUACUUUGUACAUGUGCCUGAAAGUGGGAAGCCCGUCCUUGACUUGAUUGUCCAACUUUGGAGCCAGUCAUUUGCUUCACAUAUUUUUAGCCUCUUGUUUCACAAAUGGGUAUGUAAGCUUGUCUCUGCC